CUCCCAGAAGGCAAUGGGGGUUGGAGGCGGAACUAGCUCGAAGCGCCGAGAUCUGUGAUUGGUGACGAGCGUAGGUCCAAUUGGAGGAGCUGUUGUUACACAGUCGGCGAGCCGGUCGGGGAGGGAGGAAGGUGGCAAGAUGGUGUUGGAAAGCACUAUGGUUUGCGUGGACAACAGUGAGUAUAUGCGGAAUGGGGACUUCCUGCCCACCCGGCUGCAGGCCCAGCAGGACGCCGUCAACAUAGUGUGUCACUCAAAGACCCGCAGCAACCCUGAGAACAACGUGGGCCUCAUCACGCUGGCCAAUGACUGUGAAGUGCUGACCACGCUCACCCCCGACACCGGCCGCAUCCUCUCCAAGCUCCAUACUGUGCAGCCCAAGGGCAAGAUCACCUUCUGCACUGGCAUCCGCGUGGCCCACCUGGCUCUGAAGCACCGACAGGGCAAGAAUCACAAGAUGCGCAUCAUCGCCUUCGUGGGGAGCCCUGUGGAGGACAACGAAAAGGAUCUGGUGAAACUCGCUAAACGCCUCAAGAAGGAGAAAGUAAAUGUUGACAUCAUCAAUUUUGGGGAAGAGGAAGUGAACACAGAAAAGCUGACAGCCUUUGUAAACACCCUGAACGGCAAAGAUGGAACUGGCUCCCACCUGGUGACAGUGCCCCCCGGGCCCAGCUUGGCUGAUGCCCUCAUCAGCUCCCCGAUUCUGGCUGGUGAAGGUGGCGCCAUGCUGGGUCUUGGUGCCAGUGACUUCGAGUUUGGAGUGGAUCCCAGUGCCGAUCCUGAGCUGGCCCUGGCUCUGCGGGUCUCUAUGGAAGAGCAGCGGCAGCGGCAGGAGGAGGAGGCACGGCGGGCCGCGGCAGCCUCCGCCGCUGAGGCUGGGAUUCCCACAGCGGGGGCUGAAGGUGAAAGAGAUUCGGACGACGCCCUGCUGAAGAUGACCAUCAGCCAGCAGGAGUUCAGCCGCUCCGGGCUCCCCGACCUGAGCAGCAUGACCGAGGAAGAGCAGAUCGCCUACGCCAUGCAGAUGUCCCUGCAGGGCGCCGAGUUUGGCCAGGCAGAGUCAGCAGACAUCGAUGCCAGCUCAGCCAUGGACACAUCGGAGCCAGCCAAGGGUUUCGUAGAUGAGAACUUUGAGGAGCAGAAGGCAACACGUGUAAACCUUGCUGAGGCCACGGUGCGCUGCUAGUCAGUUGCAGAAGUGCCCCGGUCUUCCAGAUUCUCCGUCCUUGCUGACGGGAGGACUCCGGACAGGAGGAGGAUGAUUACGACGUGAUGCAGGACCCCGAGUUCCUUCAGAGUGUUCUAGAGAACCUUCCUGGUGUGGAUCCCAACAACGAAGCCAUUCGAAAUGCCAUGGGCUCCCUGGCCUCCCAGGCCACCAAGGAUGGCAAGAAAGAC